CACAUUAGAGAUUGAGGAUUCGAAUGGAAACAAAAGAUCUGCCAAAACAUGAAUCAAAAAAAUUAAACCGACUCAAACACACCAGUCUGUGGCGUGAGCUAGGGUUGGCUACAUAAAAGGCUAGGAGUGGCCAAUUUGAUUGGAAAAAGUAUCAGAGUUCACAUUAGAGAUUGAGGAUUCGAAUGGACAAAAAAGAUGUGCCAAAACAAUAAUAAAAAAAACUUAACCCACUCAACAAUACCAGUCUGUAGCGUGAGCUAGGGUUUGCUACAUAAAAGGCUAGGAGUGGCCAGUUUGAUUGGAAAAAGCAUGAGAGUUCACAUUAGAGAUUGAGGAUUCGAAUGGACACAAAAGAUCAGCCAAAACAAUAAUCAAAAAAAUUGAACCCACUCAACAAUACCAGUCUGCAGCGUGAGCGAGGGUUGGCUACAUAAAAGGCUUGGAGUCGCCAAUUUGAUUGGAAAAAGUAUGAGAGUUCACAUUAGAGAUUGAGGAUUCAAAUGGAAACAAAAGAUCUGCCAAAACAUGAAUCAAAAAAAUUAAACCGACUCAAACAUACCAGUCUGUAGCGUGAGCUAGGGUUGGCAACAUAAAAGGCUAGGAGUGGCCAAUUUGAUUGGAAAAAGUAUCAGAGUUCACAUUAGAGAUUAUGGAUUCGAAUGGAAACAAAAGAUGUGCCAAAACAAUAAUCAAAAAAAUAGAACCGACUCAACAAUACCAGUCUGUAGCGUGAGCUAGGGUUGGCAACAUAAAAGGCUAGGGGUGGCCAAUUUGAUUGGAAAAAGUAUGAGAAUUCACAUUAGAGAUUGAGGAUUCGAAUGGACAGAAAAGAUCUGCCUAAACCCUAAUCAAAAAAUUGAAUCGACUCAACAAUACCAGUCUGUAGCGUGAGCUAGGUUGGCUACAUAAAAGCUAGAGUGCCAAUUUGAUUGGAAAAUUGUUAUGAGGUUGACAUUNNNNNNNNNNNNNNNNNNNNNNNNNNNNNNNNNNNNNNNNNNNNNNNNNNNNNNNNNNNNNNNNNNNNNNNNNNNNNNNNNNNNNNNNNNNNNNNNNNNNUCUGCCGAAACAUGAACCAAAAAAAUUGAACCGACUCAACAAUACCCGUCUGUAGCGUGAGCUAGGGUUGGCUACAUAAAAGGCUAGGAGUGGCCAAUUUGAUUGGAAAAAGUAUGAGAAUUCACAUUAGAAAUUGAGGAUUCGAAUGGACACAAAAGAUCUACGAAAACAUGAAUCAAAAAAAUUGAACCGACUCAGCAAAACCAGUCUGUAGCGUGAACUAGAGUUGACAACAUAAAGGGCUAGGAGUGGCCAAUUUGAUUGGAAAAAGUACGAGAGUUCACAUUAGAGAUUGAGGAUUCGAAUGGACACAAAACGUCUGCCGAAACAUGAAUCAAAAAAACUUAACUGAUUCAACAACACCAGUGUGUACCGUGAGCUAGGGUUUGCUACAUAAAAGGCUAGGAGUGGCCAAUUUGAUUUGAGAAAGUAUGAGAGUUCACAUUACAGAUUGAGGAUUCGAAUGGACAUAAAAGAUCUGCCAAAACAAUAAUAAAAAAAAUUGAACCGACUCAACAAUACCAGUCUGUAGCGUGAGCUGGGGUUGGCUACAUAAAGGGCUUGGAGUGGCCAAUUUGAUUGGAAAAAGUAUGAGAAUUCACAUUAGAGAUUGAGGAUUCGAAUAGACACAAAAGGUCUGCCAAAACAUGAAUCAAAAAAAUUUUACCGACUCAACAAUACCAGUCUAUAGCGUGAGCUAGGGUUGGCUACAUAAAAGGCUAGGAGUGGCCAGUUUGAUUGGAAAAAGUAUCAGAAUUCACAUUAGAGAUUGAGGAUUCGAAUGGACACAAAAGAUCCGCCAAAACAUGAAUCAAAAAAAUUGAACCGACUCAACAAUACCAGUCUGUAGCGUGAGCUAGGGUUGGCUACAUAAAAGGCUAGGAGUGGCCAAUUUGAUUGGAAAAAGUAUGAGAGUUCACAUUAGAGAUUGAGGAUUCGAAUGGACACAAAAGAUCUACGAAAACAUGAAUCAAAAAAAUUGAACCGACUCAGCAAAACCAGUCUGUAGCGUGAGCUAGGGUUGGGUACAUAAAGGGCUUGGAGUGGCGAAUUUGAUUGGAAAAAGUAUCAGAGUUCACAUUAGAGAUUGAGGAUUCGAAUGGACACAAAAGAUGUGCCAAAACAAUAAUAAAAAAAACUUAACCCACUCAACAAUACCAGUCUGUAGCGUGAGCUAGGGUUUGCUAC
rnacentral:lncRNA from 1 species